UUCUGGUUGAUCCUGCCGGAGACCACUGCUAUCUGGAUUCGACUAAGCCAUGCGAGUCGAGAGGGGUAAGCCCUCGGCGCACGGCUGAGUAACAUGUGGAUAAUCUACCCUUGGGUGGGGGAUAACUCCGGGAAACUGGAGAUAAUGCCCCAUAGGUCAGGUAGCCUGGAAUGGUUCCUGGCCGAAAGCAUCGCGUCCAAGGAUGAGUCUGCAUCCGAUUAGGUAGAUGGUGGGGUAAUGGCCUGCCAUGCCUAUAAUCGGUAGGGGCCAUGAGAGUGGGAGCCCCCAGAUGGGAUCUGAGACACGAUCCCAGGCCCUACGGGGCGCAGCAGGCGCGAACCUUCGCAAUGCUGGAAACAGCGACGAGGGAAUCCAGAGUGCUGCUAGUUUUUACUAGUGGCUGUCCUUUAGCUUAAAAAGCUAGAGGUAGAAAGGGCUGGGUAAGACUACUGCCAGCCGCCGCGGUAACAGUAGCAGCCCUAGUGGUGAUCGCGAUUAUUGGGCUUAAAGGGUCCGUAGCCGGCCUAGCAAAUGCCUGGCGAAAUCCUACGGCUUAACCGUAGAGCUAGUCAGGUAGACUACUAGGCUUGGGACUGAGAGAGGCUCUGGGUACUUUUGGGGUAGGGGUGAAAUCCUAUCAUCCCAAGAGGACCGCCAGUGGCGUAGGCGCGUGGCCAGAACGGGUCCGACGGUGAGGGACGAAAGCUGGGGGAGCGAACGGGAUUAGAUACCCCGGUAGUCCCAGCUAUAAACGAUGCGGACUGGGUGUUAGAGCGGCCUAGAGUCGCUCUAGUGCCGAAGGAAACCGUUAAGUCCGCCGCCUGGGAAGUACGGCCGCAAGGCUGAAACUUAAAGGAAUUGACGGGGGAGCACCACAACGGGUGGAGCCUGCGGUUCAAUUGGAUUCAACGCCGGAAAGCUUACCGGGGGCGACAGCAGGUUGAAGGUCAGGUUGACGACCUUACCAGACAAGCUGAGAGGUGGUGCAUGGCCGUCGUCAGUUCGUACCGUGAGGCGUCCUGUUAAGUCAGGUAACGAACGAGACCCCUGCUUUUAGUUGCCAGCGGAUCCAGAAAUGGAUGCUGGGCACACUAGGGGGACCGCCAGCGCUAAGCUGGAGGAAGGAGGGGGCGACGGUAGGUCAGUAUGCCCCGAAUCCCCCGGGCUACACGCGGGCUACAAUGGCUAGGACAAUGGGAUCCGACCUCGAAAGGGGAAGGCAAUCUCCUAAACCUAGUCUUAGUUCGGAUUGAGGGCUGUAACUCGUCCUCAUAAAGGUGGAAUCCGUAGUAAUCGCGAGUCAACAUCCCGCGGUGAAUACGUCCCUGCUCCUUGUACACACCGCCCGUCAAGCCACCUUAGUGGGGUUCAGAUGAGGCUACGUCGAUGUUGGCGUGUUCGAAUCUGAGUUCUGCAAGGGGGGCUAAGUCGUAACAAGGUAACC
rnacentral:rRNA from 1 species